rnacentral:rRNA from 1 species
CGGGAUUGCCACGGCCUUUCAGUUUUUUGGGGGGUUUAUGGCUUACCAAGGCGUCGACGGGUAGCCGGCCUGAGAGGGUGUACGGCCCCUUUGGGAUUGAGAUACGGCCCAGAUUCUUUCGGGAGGCACCCGUGGGGACCCUUGCCCAAUGGGAGCAAGCCUGAUGCAGCGACGCCGCUGGGGGAU